ensembl:lncRNA
CUCUCUCCUGCUUUUAUUCCUCCCAGCGUCUGCAGGGUUUUUUCUACUUGCAUGCUGUACCUGCAUGGCCAAUGCGUGAGACAGAGUCCAAGCGGAACACCUGCUUGCAAAACAAGUCUUUGCAAAAGCAAGAUAAACUACCAAGCAGAAUUGCCAGAUCACGGCCUGAACCAACAGUUGAAUGCCAGGUGAACAGAUAACCUACGCUGAGGUGAAAAGGAGGCGGAGAUCUGACACACCAGAAAGUGCACCAAAGACUACACAUCAAAAAGCCUGCUCCGAGAAUGCGCAAUGGUGUUACAUUGCCAUCAUCUUGUACUUCUUCGCACUGAUUCUAUUCAUCACUGUGAUUCUCUUAGCAGUGAAAUGUUAGCCCUGAGACAGAUGAUGUGGUUCUGCUGACAAAUGGGGAAAGCCAGGUCGGAAAGGCUCUGCUUCUUCUAUAAAACAAGACAAAAUGUUUACUAUUAUGUUAUUUCUUCUGCAUAGGCUUCUAUGGAAGAUGACAUGCCGACAGUCUGGCCACUCUUCAGUUACUUCUUCCAGGAUUUUCAUUAAACCUUUAACCUCUCUGAUUAUGGGAAAAAAUAUGUUAUUGAUGUAAUAAUACCAGCAACCACCAUAUGGUAUAGUGCAUGUAACAAGGCACUAGCUCAAGCUACUGCAUCAUAAGUUGGAUCUAAGUCUUGUCUACACAACAUAAAUGACCAGGAGGACCCAUUUGAAACAUCACUUUUAUUUCCCACGACUUGAUUUUACAGUAAUCUGACGUGUAGAUAAGCUUUUAGAUUUGGAUAUGAUCAAGUGCAAAAAUGCAUGGAUAAAAUACAGAAUGUGAAUGGUUGCACUAAAAUUUUUUUAUGAGAUACACACAUGUACACGAUUUUUGUCUUUUGGUGGGAUCUAUAGGAGUGGGGUACUGAAGAUGAAGGGACUUCAUUAGUUCAUCAAAGAAGUCUCACUCUCAUUCCCCCACUGGCAUGAAUAAAAUUAUUCUGUUCUGCUUGUCCAGAGAAGUAUCUCACAGAGUCACAGUACGUUGGUUCCAUCUUGGAGCAGUAAUUCAUCUUUUGUUUCCAUUUUUUUUCCACAAUGCAGUAGCUUCAGUUAAGUCAGAGUCCUUCACUAGAACUAAACCACCUCAGAUUCAAAUGAAUUUGUUUGUAAUUAUUAUUUUAACAAAAUAAUUUUUGUUACAAUUUUUAGUUUAACAAAAUCAUUAUUUUGAAUUCUCAUCCAUUAUAAUUCCUCUGAGACAUGUUGAUAUCAAUGAUUUGCAGUUCCUGAGUAGAAGGGACUAUAUAGUAUAGCAAAUAUUUGUAGAAUUGUUCCCUAUACAUAAGCUUAUCUGUACUUAGGCCAUGUUGUUGCUGUUGAUAUGUUUCUAUGUUCUUAUAAUAUAUUUGCCAGAAAUGAGUAAUGAAAUUUAGU